CCUCCAGCUUUCAGGGCCAGGAUCUGAGCAAGAACUUGGACACUUCCAAGAUAUUUGAACGUGGCUGUUCCUGGGGAAUGUGAGCAAAGGAGGCAGCAACUGAAGUGCUGAGAUCAGAUAAAUCACCCUGCCUUGAAAAGUUUCCAGUCUGCCAGCCAAAUCCUGGGAAUCUGAAACAGCAGCAGGCAACUGGUGCAGCAGAACAGGUUCCCAGGGCUGGGGAUUCAGCUUCUGGCCUCAUCCAGAAAUCCCCGAGGGUUUCAGAUCCCCACGAGGCCUCUCAAUGUCUUGAUCUGCUUGAAUAGGCAUUUUUAACGCGGCCCCGGCUGUCAUCGGGGCCUGUUACAGUCACUCAACUGCAGCGACAUUGUUCUCCCGGCAGACACCUCCCUUAUUUCCAUA